AGAGUUUGAUCCUGGCUCAGGACGAACGCUGGCGGCGUGCCUAACACAUGCAAGUCGAGCGGAGAUGUACUGAAGAUUUAUCGGAUGUACAUCUUAGCGGCGGACGGGUGAGUAACGCGUGGGCAACCUGCCUUUCACUGGGGGAUAACACAGGGAAACCUGUGCUAAUACCGCAUGACAUCACGUAGGGCAUCCUAUGUGAUCAAAGGAGAGAUCCGGUGGAAGAUGGGCCCACGUCCCAUUAGCUGGUUGGUGAGGUAACGGCUCACCAAGGCUGCGAUGGGUAGCUGGUCUGAGAGGACGAUCAGCCACACUGGAACUGAGACACGGUCCAGACUCCUACGGGAGGCAGCAGUGGGGAAUAUUGCACAAUGGGCGAAAGCCUGAUGCAGCGACGCCGCGUGGAGGAUGAAGGCCUUCGGGUCGUAAACUCCUGUCUGGGGGGAUGAACACUGACAGUACCCCCGGAGGAAGCCCCGGCUAACUACGUGCCAGCAGCCGCGGUAAUACGUAGGGGGCGAGCGUUGUCCGGAAUUACUGGGCGUAAAGCGCGCGCAGGCGGCUUGUUAAGUCAGGUGUCAAAAUGCGGGGCUCAACCCCGUAUCGCACUUGAAACUGGCAGGCUUGAGUGCAGGAGAGGGAAGUGGAAUUCCUAGUGUAGCGGUGAAAUGCGUAGAUAUUAGGAGGAACACCAGUGGCGAAGGCGACUUCCUGGACUGUAACUGACGCUCAGGCGCGAAAGCUAGGGGAGCAAACAGGAUUAGAUACCCUGGUAGUCCUAGCCGUAAACGAUGGGUACUAGGUGUUGGGGGUGACAAUCCCCCAGUGCCGCAGUUAACGCAUUAAGUACCCCGCCUGGGGACUACGGCCGCAAGGCUGAAACUCAAAUGAAUUGACGG
rnacentral:rRNA from 1 species